rnacentral:rRNA from 1 species
UGGAUAACACCUGGAAACAGAUGCUAAUACCGGAUAACAACAGAUGAUGCCUAUCAACUGUUUAAAAGAUGGUUCUGCUAUCACUCUUGGAUGGACCUGCGGUGCAUUAGCUAGUUGGUAGGGUAACGGCCUACCAAGGCGAUGAUGCAUAGCCGAGUUGAGAGACUGAUCGGCCACAUUGGGACUGAGACACGGCCCAAACUCCUACGGGAGGCAGCAGUU